AGGCAAGUGAGAAAGAAAUCUACACAAAACAUUUGUCAUAGUUAGAUUGAUCAGAGAAGUUUCUAGUUGUCCUCAAAGGCUUCCAAUAUUCGAUUCAAUGUGGAAUGUUGGAUCCUUUGAGGUCAAUCGAAGACUUACUCUUCUUUGAGUUAUUGACGUUCAAGCAAUUUUCGUGAUACAAUAGUUUGCCAGAUGUGUGGUCCAAUCUCCAUUUGAAACAAGUGGUCAAGUUUCUAUCUGAAAAUAUUGUCUGGUAUUGAUUAGUCCAAUAGCUAGCUCCAGUUCAAGAAGUGUCUUCUCAAUAGAGGUCACAGACCAACUUCACGUGACAGAUUUGGACUACAUCAUUAUUCAACUCUUUGACCCUGAUGAAUCAACUAUGUUCCAUGCAGAAAUUUUCAUAUGGAGGUGGAGCACAUACAUAUGACUCUCGAGUCGGAAUGUUUUAGAGUGCUAGUAAUUGUAGAGGGAUGAAGAUGGACUUUGCGAAUUGAAAUAUGAAAUGAUUAUUGUACUUUAAUUUUGUUAGAAUUCAAUUUCAAUCAUCUAAAAAAUUAUUCUGAAAUCAUUCUAAAAAAAUUCACUUUAAAAUAUCCUAACUCAAGAAUCACUCUAAUGUGAGAGCCUCUACACAUUUUGUAUACAAAUUUUUUAUACAAGUAGUACCGCUCCUGAUGAAUUGA